CUGAGACCCGAAAGGUCGAAGAGAGAAAUUCAUUCGCGUUUCUUGAAUGUCUUUGAGCGGUGUUGAGUGACAAAAUAUGUAUUUAUAUAUAUAUUUUGCGCCCGCUGUUUGAUGAAACAUUUUUGAACGUGUGCACUUUUCUCUCUGUAGGACGUCGCGAUCCGUUGGGUGUUGAUCUACAACAUAUGCAGUGGAGCCCGUUAGUUUUCAUACUAUUUUUUAGUAUGUUUAUACAAACGGACCUGUAAUGUUUGGUCAACUCGCUCGACGGUAUAACUAGUAUCGGUCUAAGGCCGCUCUUGUAGCGUUUGACUCGAAGCAAGCGUGUUAGAUGCAUGUUGGCAAAUCGGAUAUUGUGCCGAUUCCGACCUCUAACGACUGUUGGUUUCGAUGUUCUCAAACAGACCUUAUUAUUAAAGACCAAUCGGCGACGCUAUAGCUUUGGGUACUUUCAGGACCCGUCUUGAAACACGGACCAAGGAGUCUAGCAUGUACGCAAGUCAUUGAGAUUAUUACUAAACUUAAAGGCGUAAUGAAAGUAAAGGUCUUCCUUGCGAAGAUCGAGGGAAGAGAUGUAACUACUUUUAUAGUUGCUUCGCAUUCCCGGGGCGUCUCAUUCUCAUUGCGAGAAGAGGCGCACCAAGAGCGUACACGCUGGGACCCGAAAGAUGGUGAACUAUGCCUGGUCAGGACGAAGUCAGGGGAAACCCUGAUGGAGGUCCGUAGCGAUUCUGACGUGCAAAUCGAUCGUCGGAACUGGGUAUAGGGGCGAAAGACUAAUCGAACCAUC
rnacentral:rRNA from 1 species